AGAGUGAACAGAUAAAUUUGGCCUAAAAAUGACCAUGAAAAAGGAAGGAUGUAAUCAGGGCCCAAGGAAAGAAGAUCAUCCCCAGGAAUAUGAUUUUUGAUGAGAGAGUCUGACAGUUACAGCGCAGUGUUUUGGAGGCAGGAAGGUCCUAAGUUCAAUGGCAGCUAAAGUAUCACCACAGGCAGUUCUCUUGACCUCUGUGGUACCUCAGUCAGCUAAGCUGUAAGGCUGGCUUCCAUGAAAAUCCAGAUGUUGCCUCUGAAUUAAACUGUCCUGAAUAAAUAAGUUACCAGAAGAACUGCAUAUCUGAAAAAUGCCUUAGCCAGAAGUUACUAAAGGAUAUUACUAAUGACAGACAAAUGAGGAACAUCAGAGAAUGCCAUAUUUGUAGAUACUUCAGCCAGGGGUGUUUUCUACGUAACACUUUGAGGAAAACACAUAAUGAGUUUUUUGCAUUAAAAAAAAAAAAAAAAGCCACAGAUGCUACUAUUUAAUGAAAGCUAAAAUUCUUUCAGGAGGAGCAAACCUAUAGUAGCAGCUCCCAGUAAUUUUACUAGGUUAUUAAAGUACAAAUGAAAUCCCAUGCAGUCUAUCCUGCGAAACACAAACCUAGGGGCACUGAUGAGCAAUGCUUAUGAAAAAAAAAAUUCAGAUAGCAAAUAAACUGUCAUUCUGCCCUAGGUAAAGCACAAAUAGAUACCAAGCUGAAAAUAGAUCCCCAAAUAAAUGCAAGAAACACAAGCUGCAGGACAGCUGUGAAGGCUUCCAGCAGGAAAUGUUCCUAGUGCAGUGAAGGUCAGCUACGAAUGAUGACUCACUUGCACCGCAGAUCUACACAAAUAGCAUGUGCUAAGAUUACCAUCUGGUAUAACAAUCUACAUCACAAGACACCACAUUUCCUGUUACCCAGGCAAGGCAUGUGCGGACUUAAAUCAGACCUCCCCUGAAAUCACUGGACUGAACUAAUGCAGCAAAUGGAGACCCAGCUGAGUGUGCAUCAGGACAGCUUGAGAUGUGACACAGUUGUGUGUAACUUCACUACCUUGUGAAAAAAAAAAAAAAAAAAAAAGAAAAAAAGCUCUACAACCCAAUUAUUUUUGUAACACUUCUUUAAAGGAUGAUGCACUGGACAUCACAGAUGGGAAAAAAUUUAAAUCAGGACAACUGUAGGGAUGUUACAUUUGAUGUGAGGCUGAAAACUGGGAAUGGGGCUGCGUUUUCAAAGGUAUUUUCUUAGUUUGUAAAAACUUUGCUUAAACCCAUCUCUGAAACCUCAGCACCAAGAGCACAGAUUUCAUUAGUAACACUGCAAGAAUAAAAAUGUGACUUCAGCACUUCUGAGUUAUUCUUAACAUAUGAGCCAUGAUCUGGAGAAUCCAAACCUUUGAUCAACUUUAUGAGAAAUACCUGUGACAGAAAGAAAACAUUUAAUGAGCCAGAGAUGUCAAUUAUAAGGUUUCAAGCAAUUUUAUACCCUAUAUAAUACAUAUAAACCAAUACAGUUUAAAGUGUAUUUUAUCAUUCUAUAAAUGUUCUAAACUAUCCCUUUUAAUAUUUCAACUUUUUUUUUUCCAUUUAUUUGUUUCAAAGCAUGAAAGAUAAACCCUUUUCAAAUGUUCACGGUCUUUCAUGGUGUAAAGCAAAACAAAUUAGGAACAAACCAGCAGAACAGCACAGAGAUUGUAAAUUUCAAACAAAUGAAACACUUCUGAAUUUGUUAUUUUAAUCAAAAUUUGUUCAGAUGAAUAAGUGGCUGAUGUUGCUUUUGUGGUUUUUAUGAUUUGCUUCUUUUUUUUAAUAUUCUCCUUUACUGAUCCUUAUGCUUCAGGACCUGACCCUUAAUCACCAAUAUUAAGGAGGAACAUAUCUCUGACUUUAGAAAAAACAUGUUCCUUUGCCAACAUCUUUGAAAGAAGAUUUUAGACACCUUUACUGAUUGUUGAUGUCUGUUUUUAGGUGUCUCACAGUGCCUUGGUUUUUAAAGAAUACUGAAUUCCAGUCUCCUGAACUGCACAACCAUUAUGUGUCUUGAAAACAGACUUUCCAAAUAUCUGUUUGCUUUGGUAAAACUUGAUCCUUAGAAGACCUUGAGUUUUGCAAAACUGUUCCAUCAGAAUGCUAAGAAUCUCUGAUUAUCAGUAUAAUAAGGAGUGGUAAAAUAAUGCUACUUUAGCCAUUUAAAACUCAUGUAGACCAAAUUCUGCUUUUUUCCAUUAUCAGUACACUUUUGACUAAGAAAGAACAGGAUGUU
rnacentral:lncRNA from 1 species